GACGAACGCUGGCGGCGUGCCUAAUACAUGCAAGUAGAACGCUGAAGAGAGGAGCUUGCUCUUCUUGGAUGAGUUGCGAACGGGUGAGUAACGCGUAGGUAACCUGCCUUGUAGCGGGGGAUAACUAUUGGAAACGAUAGCUAAUACCGCAUAACAAUGGAUGACACAUGUCAUUUAUUUGAAAGGGGCAAUUGUUCCACUACAAUAUGGACCUGCGUUGUAUUAGCUAGUAGGUGAGGUAAUGGCUCACCUAGGCGACGAUACAUAGCCGACCUGAGAGGGUGAUCGGCCACACUGGGACUGAGACACGGCCCAGACUCCUACGGGAGGCAGCAGUAGGGAAUCUUCGGCAAUGGGGGGAAACCUGACCGAGCAACGCCGCGGGAGUGAAGAAGGGUUUCGGAUCGGAAAGCUCUGUUGUAAGUCAAGAACGGGUGUGAGAGUGGAAAGUUCACACUGUGACGGUAGCUUACCAGAAAGGGACGGCUAACUACGUG
rnacentral:rRNA from 1 species